CCUACGGGAGGCAGCAGUGGGGAAUAUUGCACAAUGGGCGCAAGCCUGAUGCAGCCAUGCCGCGUGUGUGAAGAAGGCCUUCGGGUUGUAAAGCACUUUCAGCGGGGAGGAAGGCGGUGAGGUUAAUAACCUCAUCGAUUGACGUUACCCGCAGAAGAAGCACCGGCUAACUCCGUGCCAGCAGCCGCGGUAAUACGGAGGGUGCAAGCGUUAAUCGGAAUCACUGGGCGUAAAGCGCACGCAGGCGGUCUGUCAAGUCGGAUGUGAAAUCCCCGGGCUCAACCUGGGAACUGCAUUCGAAACUGGCAGGCUAGAGUCUUGUAGAGGGGGGUAGAAUUCCAGGUGUAGCGGUGAAAUGCGUAGAGAUCUGGAGGAAUACCGGUGGCGAAGGCGGCCCCCUGGACAAAGACUGACGCUCAGGUGCGAAAGCGUGGGGAGCAAACAGGAUUAGAUACCCCUGUAGUC
rnacentral:rRNA from 1 species